UAGGCAGUUCGGAGUGUUCACGGUGCGGUUACCCUGCAAAGUUCACCAGAUACUCGCUGACGGGCCGAGAAAGACCAGGAAAAACACGAGGAUUCAGGCAGUAAGCGAGGCAGAACGGAUGGCGAAAACAGACCUGGUCCAGACAGCUGAGACAACAAGCUCAAGGAGGAGAAUGAGGAGGAUGAAAUCAAAAGGAAGAAACAACAGCCAAAUCUUUCCAAAAAUACGGGGUAGACCGCAACACAAGUGCACAGACUACCUCUUUUUCAGUUGCACCAUGUAAUUUUGUGUUAAUUUAAUAAUGCUAUGAACUGAAUGUUUCACAUAUACAGAAAAAAAUUAUCUAUGUUCUUUUUCUAUUUCUACUGGGUAGCUGAAUGUGUAGGUAUACAUUGUUUAUUGUUUAACAUUGUGUAAUGCUUUCAGAUUAUAGCAUUAAAGUAUCUAGUACUUUA